AAAGUCGUAACAAGGUUUCCGUAGGUGAACCUGCGGAAGGAUCAUUAUCGAAUGAAACAUAGAGUUGGGUUGUAGCUGGCCUGCAAAGGCAUGUGCACGCCUUUCUCUUUCAUCCACACACACACCCCUGUGCACUUGUGAGACGGAGGCUUGUUGGUUCCUCUUUCAAUUAGAGGGAUUGGGUUUCCGUCUGCCAUCAUACAAACUCAUUUUUAUUUAAUUGGAAUGUAAUCGAUGUUUAAAUGCAUCUUAUAUACAAAGUUUCAACAACGGAUCUCUUGGCUCUC
rnacentral:misc_RNA from 1 species